GGUGCUUGGAUUGCAGCACAUGGGCCAGCUCGCGCAGGUGGCCCCGGUGCCGCUGUUCAUCGGGCCGCGCGGGGAAGGCGGCGGCCAAGAUGCGCUCCGUCACGUAGGAUGAGCAAUACCCACAGCACUCCGUUCAAGGUCAUCUCCUGGGGGCCCUCUCUGGAGCCACCAGACCUCUGGACACCAUGGCCAGGUUCCUUGCCCUCCCCACCCCAUCCCAGAGCGCACUCACCAACUCCACGGGAGGCAAGGCCUGACAGGCUGAAGUCACCUGGAAGGGGACCGAUGCCUGGUACUGGAUAGGAACUUCAUGGAAUGGAGCUAAUGGGCCGUAGGGCAGGUUUGAGUCGUGCCACCCUGGAGCAGAAGGUGGAGGGUAGGGAUAAGGGGGUGGAGCACCUGAUUCCAAUCUUGCCACAGGGAAGAAGAGUCUGUGAAGAACAUUCCUUAGGGUCUUUGGCUGGGCUCUGGGAUGGAUGCCAUGGGAGUACCUUUACUUAAGCUCUAAAGUUACCAAUGGAGAGACUGGGACUCAAAGAGGAACUUGAUUGGACCCCAGAGAGGGUGGAGAGAAACUAGGAGAAAAGCACAGGAUGUAGAGGUCUAUUCGGCAUAAUCUUCUCCCUCAUUUUCAUCUUCACCAUCAACAGAGAGAGCAGCAUACUUGCUUGCAGAACUGAACUUCUGUAACACAACGAGAGUGACAGGAUAAUGAAGGCCCUGAAUUAUCACAUCAAAACCCAAGACACAGGAUACUGAUCCUUUGGCAAUGGGGGAUGACAGUCAGAUGACACCCACUUGCUUGCUCAUCAGCAUUGUCCAUUGGAGAGGAGCUAGGGAAGAGGGUCAGAGGCACAUGCGAUCUUACUAUAGUCUCAUACCACCUCUACACCUUGCAGAAGGGAUGAGAACAAAGGAAGACAGAAACCAGGAAAAAGCUAAACUUCUUUCGCUAUUUCAGUAAAGACCAAUGUCUUAUUUCCAAACACUUUGUAUUCCAAAUGGAAAGAAGUCCAACGGCAAAAAGUUUAGAAUACUAAGAAUUUUUAAUUCUUAGUAAGAAUACUUAGAAUUCUAAGAAUUUUUCUUAGAAUGAAAAAUUGGGAGCAGCCUUCAACACUUACGGAAGCUGGAUUUUCCUCAGGUUUCUUUGGCUCAGGUGCAGAUCUGGAGUCUUGAUCCUUUUUGCCAUCUUUCCUGCAGAGACGUAAGCAUAAAACCAUGUCUUUAGGAAAGGACUCGCCUAAUACAAACAUGUGUAUGCAUGCAGUUUCAAGGCACUGAACAGGCACCUCUAGUCAACAGUCCUUGUUGUCUGGAUGAUGUAUUACUUCUAGAUUUUCAGAAUCUUAACUGUCUACGUUGGCUGACUUUAGUUUGCUCACAAUGAGCGAUCUGGCAGUGCUCUGAGAACCAAGAACUUAAUUUCUUAAUUACACAAACAUGUGGAUCAGAGGAAAGAUGAGAAAGAGAACAAGCAUACCUAUCUGACUCCUUCCAGUGGUCUCUGUUCCCUCCGUCGCCUGGACCACGGCUAGAGUUCCCAGUUUGGCCUUUUGGGGCAUUCAUCCCAUCUACUUUAUUUUCAUCUGCUUGGGCAGUAAUGUAAACAAAUUAAAGGCAAGUAAAAGUAUCAAUGUCCCUCUCCUAAGAUUUCCCUUAAGCUGAAGAAAAUUGUGCCCACAUGUACUGAGGGAAACUAACCUCACCCCAACCCAGACUUCCUUCCUGAAGCCCUUCUUUCCACAUCCUCUACAGCACACAAAAAUACAAAAAACAAACAAAAUCCACUAAAAAGUUCCAUGUAGGGAUAUGCCAUCAUGAAAAGCAAGCUGGAAAUAAAGAUUAUGACGC
rnacentral:lncRNA from 1 species